rnacentral:rRNA from 1 species
UACAGAGGGUGCAAGCGUUGUUCGGAAUUACUGGGCGUAAAGCGCGUGUAGGUGGCGAUGUAAGUCGGGUGUGAAAUCCCUCGGCUCAACCGAGGAAGUGCACUCGAUACUGUGUCGCUUGAGUGUUGGAGGGGAUGGCGGAAUUCCCGGUGUAGAGGUGAAAUUCGUAGAUAUCGGGAGGAACACCUGUGGCGAAGGCGGCCAUCUGGACAACUACUGACACUGAGACGCGAAAAGCGUGGGUAGCAAACAGGG